CACAACUCCAGUGGUGUGUGAUCACCCACAUUGCAGCAGCUCUUAUCAGAGAGGAUUCUCAAAGGAAGAAUAUUAGGUGGGAUUCAGCACAUUAUCAGGAAAAGUAAUUGGCUUAAAUGAUGAGGGGAAACAGUGUCUCUUCGGAUUUCGGAGGUUCCAUCAAAGUGAUAAACUUCAACCCCUCCAGGCCCCGGGAAUGGCUGGGUAUAAUACUGCAAAUGAGACAUAGGAAGUAUACAGGAAGUUCUCUUCAAACUUCGGACUCCGAGCAGUGGCUGGGCUUCCAGAGUCAAGCUCUAGCAGAGCACUCCCCACCAACAAUCUCUAGAGACAGAAUCUCACUCUAUUGCUCCGGUUGAAGUGCAGUGGCUGCUUACAGGGGCGAUCACGGUGCACUGCAGCCUCGAAGUCAUGGCCUCAAUCAGUCCCCCUGCCUCCACUCAAGGAUCUGCCUUAAAAAUCGCCUAUUAAAAAUCUAAUCAUUCAGAGUCGAAAGUCACCUCUGCUCUGACUCAUUUUUCGCACCAUAUAUGCCUGUGUCUCAUAAGUUUUUUUUUUCUAAUUUCAAAUAUGCUUUCAAAUUCUGUUGCAUUUCUAUAUCCACUGCUACUGUUCCACUAAACAUUUAACACUUCGUGAUUGUUUUAUAUCUCUUUUUGUGAUAGAAGAAAAAAAUCUUAUGUGUUGUAUAUGUCUAUUUCUUCUG
rnacentral:lncRNA from 1 species